UAGCCUUUAGCAACACAAGUAUUAAAGGUCCUGCCUGCCCAGUGAAAAUUUUUUAACGGCCGCGGUAUUCUAACCGUGCAAAGGUAGCGCAAUCACUUGUCUUCUAAAUAAAGACCAGUAUGAACGGCUAAAUGAGGACAAACCUGUCUCCUACAGUUAAUCAGUGAAACUGAUCUCCCAGUCCAAAAGCUGGGAUACUAACACCAGACGAGAAGACCCUGUGGAGCUUUAAACCCACCUAGUAACACAUAACUAGCACAAAGUUUUAAGUUGGGGCGACUUCGGAAAAAAACAAAACUUCCGAGCACAGAACCACCAGUUCUUAACCGAGGCACACAAACCAAAGAAAAACUGACCCAGUCCACACUGAUCAACGAACCAAGUUACCCCAGGGAUAACAGCGCCAUCCCCUUUAAGAGCCCAUAUCAACAAGGGGGUUUACGACCUCGAUGUUGGAUCAGGGCACCCAAAUGGUGCAGCCGCUAUUAAAGGUUCGUUUGUUCAACGAUUAACAGCC
rnacentral:rRNA from 1 species